CUGCCUCCUGGACUGGGUGCGGUAAUUGUACAUUUUUUCAUCCUACAUCUCAAGAGACCAAGGGACCUAAGUAAAUUGAUCUACUUGCCAAUGACUGUAAGAAAGACAAAGAAGUUGUAAAAACAUCCAAAUGAUGUUAAACAUAAAUUAGCUCAGAAUAGUUUGCAGAAGAUAAACUACCAGCGUCAAAGCAUGCAUUAAAAACUGGAAAGAAAUUAAAAGUGUGGUAUUGAAAGAUGUACAACUGACUUUGGAAAAAGGAUUCCUCUCUAAUUGGUGUUUGUAAGUGAUCGAAAUAAACAUUUUUAAACUAUCAU
ensembl:lncRNA novel transcript